rnacentral:sRNA from 1 species
AGAGUUCCGAUUGAAAUUUGAGAAGCUCUUUGCUAUUCAAGUGGAUAUGUGCAGUUGACAGUUUGAGAGAUGUAUCUAGGGUUCAGUAAGGACAACACAAGCCUGUCUUUAAGGUCUUUUUGCGAACUGUGAACACAGCAAUGGGAAUGAUGGACAUCACCUUAAAGUAUUUUUCUAGACUUUAUUACUCAUGUGUUUGUCAUGAGGUGUAACUUAGUAGUUCAUAGUCCUAUAAUGUAUGUUAUUGACUAGGUAGCAUUUAUUUUUCUAAUUCUGUUUCUGUUAUAGUGCUGCCACAUGUGUUUCCCAGAAACGCAUUUUACCCACAGUUCUUAGGGUUGGCCUGAUUAGUUUAAUUGCUGUCUCAACCUGCUUCUUACUGUGAUUAGUUCAGGAAUCUAGAUCAAACUAAUUGGCAUUCAACAUUUCAGGAAGUGAACUGAGUAACAACUGACUAACUCAGCAGGGGAGUGUAGUAUGCUAUUAUCUUUUGGGAAAGCAGCUUAUUUGCUUUCAAGAGGCAGCAGCGGGAUGGACUCUCUUUAGGUAUGAAGGCAAGAAUGAUUAUAGACAAUAUGCAGAGGAGGGCACAGUGUGGGAGAAUCAGAACUGAGCCACUCAUGGAGUUCAGCCAACCUUGGAUCCCUGCUGCACCUUUGGACUUCCAGUUAAGCCAAUUUGUCUGACAUAUUUACUUAUACCAGUUUGAAUCUUGAAAUAUUUCAGGAAUAAUAAUUUCCUAGAUACAAGGAAAGACCUUUCAUGAAAGGUCUCAAAGAAGUCAUAUAGGGUCAAUUAGGACGGAGUUGCUCCAAUUACAUAUUUGGAACAAAUGUCCAAAUGUUAAAAAUCAAUACUUGACUAAAGCUAAAGACUAAUAUUACCAUCACAGGAAGAAUGUCCAGAGGUUUUUUUCAGAUGUGAAAUUUUAUUUAAAAAUUUUAAAUAAACUAAAUCAAAAAAUUUUAGUAGUUGUAUUAAUUUCCUGGGGCUGUCAAAGUACCAUAAACUGUAUGGCGUAAAAAAACAAAGUUAUUCUUUCAUGGUUUUAGAGGCUAGAAGUUUGAAAUCAACGUGUUGGUAGCGCCAUGCUCUCUCCAAACCCAGUAGGGGAAGACUCCUGUCUUUCAGUGUCUGGUAGCCCCAUUUGUUCUUUGGUUUGUGGCAGCAUAACUGUAAUCUCUACCUCAGGUUUUUUCAUGUAUGUCUCCAUGUUUUCUUUUUUCUUUCUUUCUUGAGAUGGAGUUUCACUCUUGUUGCCCAGGCUGGAGUGCAAUGGCAUGAUCUUGGCUCACUGCAACCUCUGCGCCCCAGGUUCAAGCAAUUUUCCUGCCUCAGCCUCCCAAGUAGCUGGGAUUACAGGCAUGCGUCAGCAUGCCUGGCUGAUUUUGAAUUUUUGGUAGAGAUGGAGUUUCAUCAUGUUAGUCAGGCUGGCCUCGAACUCCUGACCUCAGGUGAUCCACCUGCCUUGGCCUCCCAAAGUGCUGGGAUUACAGAUGUGAGCCACUGCACCCAGCUGUCUCCAUGUCUUCUUAUAAGGGUAUCAGUCAUACUGGAUUAGGGCCCACCCUAACGACCUCAUUUUAACUUGAUUACAUCUGCAAAGACCCUAUUUCCAAAGCGGGCAAAAUUCUAAGGAACUAGGGGUUAGACUUCAACGUAUCUUUCGGGGGGACACAACUCAACCCAUAACAGUAGUCAACGGCUGUGGCAGGCUAAAUGUGGCUCCCAAAUAUGUCCAUAUCCUAAUCCCUAUAGCCUGUGAAUAUUACCUUAUAUAGCCAAGAGGAUUUUGCAGAUGUGAUUCUGAGAUUGAGAGAUUAUGCCAGAUUAUCCAGGUAGGCCCCAAAUGUAAUCACCACAGUCCUUAUAGGAGAGGCAAGAAAGUCAAGUGUAGAAGGAGGUGAUAAAAGCAGAGAGAGAUUUGAAGAUUAAUAGGCUGCUUGCUUUGAAGAUAGAGGGAAGGGACCAUAAACCAGAAAUAAACCUCUAGAAGCUGGAAAAGGCAUGGAAAUAGACCCUCCCUUAAGGUCUCUGGAGGGAGUGCAGCCUUGAUUUCUACCGAGUAAAACUGAUUUUGUACUUCAGACCUCCAAAACUGUAAGAGAAUAAAUGACUGUUGUUUUAAAACCAUUGAGUUUGUAGUAAUUUGUUGCAGCAGCCAUAAGAAACUAAUACAACAGCUAUAUAGAAUUUUUUCAAUAACUGGAGAAAUUUGAAUAUGGAUUGCAUAUUAAUAUUACUGAAUCAGCAUUAAAUUUGUUAGGUGUAAUAAUGUGAUUGUAGCUAUUUAGGAGAAUAUCCUGUUUUUAAGAGACAUGCCACCGUAUUUAGGGAGAAGUGCCAACAUAUUUGCAGUUUAUUUUCAAAUGGUUCAGGGGCUGUCUGUGUACAUGAGAAGACAAAGAUAAGGCAAAUGCAGCAAAAUCGUAAUAAUUGGUGAAUCCAGGUUGAAGGGACUAUGGCUGGUCUUUGUACUUUUUUUUCCCGACUUUUCUGUAGGUUUAAAAUUUUCAAAGUAAAAAAAUGGGAAAUACUUUAAAAAUUGUAAUCAAAGACAUUAUUAGUACAGAAACUUUCAUACAUCAAUGUAUUUCAUUUUUAUAGUAAAAUUAAUUUAUGUACAUUGAUAGAAUUUUACUAAUUUCACUCCCAAGUUAUAUUAAAAGUCUUAUAUAUGUUUGAUAAUAGCAUAUGUAAACUAGAACUCUGAAUGAUAUCCAUUGGUCAUAAUACGUACUAUGUAGCGGUAAUGGUGACUUUUGUGAUUGCACAAGUCUAGAGAUGUGCCAAAUGACAUUGACUUAGACAUCUGGUUAUUCUAAGGCUGAAACUGAAGUUGAAUAGAAGAUUUUAGUCAAAUACUGAGAUGAAAACUGAGGCAGUCCUGGCGGGGGGAGGGGAGAGUGUGUGUAUAUAUAUACAUACAUAGACAUCAUGCUUCUAAAUAUUUACAGAAAGAAAGCAUAGAUUAUCUACAAAAAAAUAAGAAUCAGACUGAUAUGAGAUCUUACAAACUGAUAUGAGAUCUUACAAACUGAUAUGAGAUCUUUUGAUUGAUUCUCUUUCCUAAACUCCAGAUUCUCAUAUUUAUGACUUCCUAUUUGAUAUUUACACUUCGAUAUUUACCAGGAGUCUUCAACAUUUUGUUCAAAACAGUACUCUUGGUUUUCUUUCUCCAAGACUACUCCUCACUCAUAUCAGCAAAUAGCAGCUCUUUUCAAGUGCUCAGUGUAAAAACCUACAAUUAAUCCUUGAUUUCUCUUUUAGUCAGCCUAUACUAAAUCAAUUUCAUUUAAAAUAUCUUGGCUACUACUCUGCAUCUUCACUGCUACCAUCUGCCUCUCCAGUCACAUUCUCCAAGAGCACUCUAUCUCAUUUAAAAGACAAAAUCUCUGCAAUGGCCUGUGAUGCUCCUUAAUGGCCUACAUAAUCCAGCCCUCAAGCACCUCCGUGAUCGCUGUAAAACUUUCCCUUGGUCAGUGUGCUUCAGCCACCUUAACCAGCUUGCAUAUUUCUUACAUUCACCAAGCUCGUUCCUGCCUUGGGGCCUCUGUAGUUACCAUGUUCUGUUCUGAGAAUACUCUGCCUCAAGAUAUCCUACAACUAUCUUACUGUAUUCAGCUUUCUGCUCAAGUAUUAACUGAUGAAACCUGUCAUCCCUACUCCACUCCAUGUUCUGCUUUACUUAACAGCAAUUGCACAUAUGGCCCCCUGAAUAAUAUACAUUUAGUCGCUUAUUUUUACUUAUCCACUAAUUAAAAUGUAGACUUUUUCUAUUCUGUUUACUGCUGUAUUCCCAGCAUGUUUUAUCCGAAUGUGCAGUGGUUUCUUUUCUUCUCCCUUAUCGUGGGAAGUGAUGUGCACAAAUACACAUAAUGGAGCCUGAAUGUCAUAUUGCUUUCAUACCUGUGUGAAUUUUGGUAAGAAAGGAAAAGUAGCGAUUGACAGGUAAUAUAAUUACAUUCAGUCACUCUCAUAGUUAGCUGUUUAUUGCUUUCCUGCUCUUAUUCUCAGUCCCCAGGACCAAAUGUUGACCACUACCUUCCCCCACAUAUAAUUAGGUUAUUUAUCCAAUGCCGUGCAGGUGCCUGUUAAAAUGAAGUUAUAUACUUACCUUAUAAACUCAACUUUUCCCUGUUGUCUUUCUGUCUCACCCCUACCUCCAUGCUUUAAAUUAACUUUUCAGGCUUAGGCCUUAUCUCUCAGUAGAGCCAUAUAAGGUAUGUGUAAAAAGCAGGAAAAUGUUUCCUGGGGAUGAAGCUUUGAAAAGCUUUUUUUUCUUUUUUUCUUUUGGCAAUAAAAUAAGGUAGAUUCAACACAAUACCUAAUAACUAAAAAAUCUGUUUUUAAUUGGGUGGGGCAGACAGCAAGUGUGUCAUCCUGGAAGAUACUAUUUGGGGUUUUAUGUAGGUAUAUAAGAGAAAAAAGUGAACAAAAGCAAGGGGCUACCAGGACGCUGCAGUAUGCUUAACAUGUAUUUUCUAAGUUUGUAUUAUGCCUUUAUCUUGGUUCUUUUAUCUUCUGUUCUCACUUGAUCUUUUUGAAAUGUAUUUUAAAUCCUAAAGUCCUGAAUUAAUAAAGGA